rnacentral:misc_RNA from 1 species
AAAAAUCAAUAUUUACCUGUAUCAAACGACGCUGUAUUAUUUCAUUAUUUUUUCCACGCGGUAAAUUAUUAUUCUGGACCAAUAUUAAUGUCUUAAUUUCUGGAGUACUUUAGCUUUGUUUUUUGGAUCUUUCUUUGUGAAAAGUGAAAAGGUAACAACAUUGUCAUUUGUCGCAUCAAUAUGGCCGACGCGAACUUCCGAUUACAUUCAUUCCAACCGGUGGAGAAACUAUUCCGGUGAUUUUUCUUUUAUGGAUGUAUGUUUUUAGAUUUGAUUUAUAAGAGUUUCGAAUAUGAAGUCAAAAGUUUUGGUCUAAAAGUGAAAAUGGAAAAGAAACGUGCGGCCAACCUUCAAUUUGUCCUGUGGAUUGCCGUUUAUUUACAGUGUGUGAAAAGUGUAUGUGCCGUCACGAUAAAGAGCCAAACCAUGUGCAUGUCACGAUAUUCUGUAUGCAUUUGUCGUACGACUUAAUUAUUUCACAAACACGUGUGUUGAUGAAAACGGAGAUAGUUCGGUUUUAUUUAAACGUCAUGGCAUCGCAGUCUUCUCUUUUAAAAUACUUUGGGGGGAAACAAAAUGAAAGUAAAUCAAAAGAAUCAAAAGAUCUGAUUUAAUAUCAAGAUCCACUUGCCUGUGUACUGUAGAAUAACAUUAUUGGCAUAUAUUACUACUUGUUUAUAUCAAUAAAAUUGAUUUGCAGUG